AUUGAACGCUGGCGGCAGGCCUAACACAUGCAAGUCGAGCGGAUGAAGGGAGCUUGCUCCUGGAUUCAGCGGCGGACGGGUGAGUAAUGCCUAGGAAUCUGCCUGGUAGUGGGGGAUAACGUCCGGAAACGGGCGCUAAUACCGCAUACGUCCUGAGGGAGAAAGUGGGGGAUCUUCGGACCUCACGCUAUCAGAUGAGCCUAGGUCGGAUUAGCUAGUUGGUGGGGUAAAGGCCUACCAAGGCGACGAUCCGUAACUGGUCUGAGAGGAUGAUCAGUCACAUUGGAACUGAGCCACGGUCCAGACUCCUACGGGAGGCAGCAGUGGGGAAUAUUGGACAAUGGGCGAAAGCCUGAUCCAGCCAUGCCGCGUGUGUGAAGAAGGUCUUCGGAUUGUAAAGCACUUUAAGUUGGGAGGAAGGGCAGUAAGUUAAUACCUUGCUGUUUUGACGUUACCAACAGAAUAAGCACCGGCUAACUUCGUG
rnacentral:rRNA from 1 species